rnacentral:lncRNA from 1 species
ACCUGACACCCCAGGCUGUUGGGGUGGGCACAGUGCCCCCGCCCUACCAGAUCCAGUUCCUGCCCCGCCAAAGAGGCUGAGGGAAGGGGGUCCAGGGAUUCCAGGGUCAUGCGCGUCCCCACCUCUGUGGAGAAGGGCCCCUUGCCCCGCUGCCUCUCUCCCGCCUCUGAGAGACGUGCUGGACACCUGCCUCUUUCCCUUGCUCACAUGCCUCCCUCGUAGGAAUGUCCUGUCUGCAGCCUAACCUCCUUCCGUCCUUCCGCAGCUCUUCUGAAGCCUCACAGAGGUCUAUUCCUUUCCCCUGUUAACAGAAUUCCAAAAGGGGUGUAUGUGUAGAACGUGGAGCUAAGGAGUUCCCUGAUGGCUCGGCAGUUAAGGACCCGGCUUGUUCACGGAUGUGGCACAAGUCCAAUCCCCGGCCCAUGCCAUCCGUGUGGUCCAAAAAUAAAGGAAAGGGAAGAAACUGAGGCUAAAAGGGGAAACUUAGCUCAGGCUCUUUCUGCAGCUCUGCCUCCCAGGCCACAGCUCUCCCCGAGUGACUUGUCCCUUUCUCAGAACAGCCCCAGGGUCCUUUUCUCAACUCCUUGGGCUCCAUGAUCUGGGCAUACACCAUGUCCCUUGGGUCUUCUCCCCAAAGGCCCACGGGGUGGGGACAGUGAUCAUGCCCAUCUUGCAGAUGAGUAAACAGAGCCCGAGAAAUGGCCAGAGAUGACCACGGUCACAGGCUUAGUGAGGACAGAAGCAGUGCCCAUGCUGUCUCCUUGGCUCUCGAAGGCAAAGCCCUACGGCUCCUUCCCGCCACCCACCCCAGCCUAUAUUUUGAAAUUAAGGUGAAAUUCCCAUGGGAUCACGAACCAUUUUAGAUGUGUCAUGUCGUGGCAUUCAGUCCCUGCAUGUGAUGGGCCAUCGCCGUCUCCCUCUAGACCCAAACAUGCUCAUCAGCCAGAAGGAAACCCCAGACCCAUGAGCAGUCACUCCCCAUCCUCCCUCCCCCAGCCCCUGGCCACACCAAACCCUUUCCUUCUCUGUGGAUUUGCCGAUUCCGCCCUUUUCACCUCAAUGGAGCGUACAGUUGUGUGGUGGUUGCUGUCUGGCUUCUUUUGCGUCUCGUGAGGGUUUGGAGGCUCAUCUAUGUGGUCCACAGCCCAGUCCUCCCUCAUCCUCAUCUGACUCCCCCCACUUCCUCCCUCGAUGAUGGGCCCUCAGCCCACCACCCCUGGGCAGUGUGCCUCUACCCUGAGCCCUUGGAGUCCCUGAUGUUCCCCUCCUGGUGUCCCAACUCAAAUAAACAU